GGGGCUGGCGGAGAGUGGGGUUCCGGCUGCCGGGUCCUGCUCGGCGGGGGCUCUGCCCGGCCCGGGGUCCUCGAGAACCGGCUCCGGGCCGGUGCGGGGGUGCCGCUGUGCUGGAAACCGGCUGUAGCUGCACCGGGACCGGGCGGUUCGUUUUUUCGGGGCGUAUCCGGCCGCGGGUCUCACGGCCCCGGCGCGGGGCGAACGCAGCCGGCGGGCGGAACCGCGGGCGGCACUGUCUCCCGGCCGCUUUAAGCAGCCCGGCGAUCAGUUUGUUUUCCCUCCUUCGGUUUCCUCUCCCCGGCUUUUGUCCGCAGCGGCUGCCAGGAGGAUAGCGCCGCGCCUCGGCCCGGCGCUGGCUCUGCCGCAGCCGGAGGAGCUGGAAGCGGUGACUGCGGGAGCUGCUGCUGGGGGAACUGCUUUCUACUGGGGCUCAGCCCUUAGGCUGCCCCGGCGGGGUCGUGGGGCAGCUGUGAGCCCUUCGCGGAGCCGGGCUUGGACCGAAGCGCCCUUUUUUCAGCUCCCGAGUGCUGCGGCAGGAGCCGAGGCUCAUCCUGGCGCCGGGCCUGGAGCUCGGGCCCGAGGCGGCGAGCGCCGGGGGCCGGCGGCGGGGAGGACGUGGGCGGUCCAGCUUAUGGGCAGCUCCAGCCUGUGGAUGCUUCAGGCUUGUUUAAGGCUCCAGUUCAAGGAUGAUUCCAGCUCCUCUUCAGCUUCAGUUCCUUCUCGUUCCAGUUGUUAUGCAGCUCCAGCUCUUUUCAGUUUGUGCUUAUUCCUAUGAGCUUGGCCAUUGGCCAGAUCAUAAAUCAAUCACUGUCACAACUUCCAUAUGAACUGUCAAACACUGAAUAAAUAGGGCAACAAAGAUGA